UACGUAGGAUGCAAGCGUUGUCCGGAAUUAUUGGGCGUAAAGAGCGCGCAGGCGGUAUGACAAGUCAGAUGUGAAAGAGGCCGGCUUAACCGGCAAGGGUCAUUUGAAACUGUCAGACUAGAGUGCAGCAGAGGAUAGUGGAAUUCCUGGUGUAGCGGUGAAAUGCGCAGAUAUCAGGAAGAACACCCGUGGCUAAGGCGGCUCUCUAGUACGGUACUGACGCUGAGACGCGAAAAGCGUGGGGAGCGAACAGG
rnacentral:rRNA from 1 species